rnacentral:rRNA from 1 species
AGGACGAACGCUGGCGGCGUGCUUAACACAUGCAAGUCGAGCGAGGCCCCUUCUUCGGGAGGGUGUUCUAGCGGCGAACGGGUGAGUAACACGUGGGCAACCUGCCCUCAGCUCUGGGAUAACUCCAAGAAAUUGGGGCUAAUACCGGAUAUGACCGCUGACCGCAUGGUCUGGUGGUGGAAAGAUUUAUCGGCUGGGGAUGGGCCCGCGGCCUAUCAGCUUGUUGGUGGGGUAGUGGCCUACCAAGGCGACGACGGGUAGCCGGCCUGAGAGGGUGACCGGCCACACUGGGACUGAGACACGGCCCAGACUCCUACGGGAGGCAGCAGUGGGGAAUAUUGCGCAAUGGGCGAAAGCCUGACGCAGCGACGCCGGCGUGGGAUGACGGCCGUCGGGUCGUAACCUCUUUCAGCGAGGACGAAGCGAGAGUGACGGUACCUGCAGAAGAAGCACCGGACCAACUACGUGCCAGCACGCCGC